AUACGUAGGGUGCAAACGUUGUCCGGAAUUACUGGGUGUAAAGGGUGCACAGGCGGUUUUGUGCGUCAGAGGUAAAAUACCCACAGCUCAACUGUGGACCUGCCUUUGAUACGGCGAGACUUGAGUACAAGAGAGGAUGAUAGAAUUCCUGGUGUAGCGGUGAAAUGCGUAGAUAUCAGGAGGAAUACCAGUGGCGAAGGCGGUCAUCUGGCUUGUAACUGACGCUUAAGCACGAAAGCAUGGGUAGC
rnacentral:rRNA from 1 species